UACGGAGGGGGCUAGCGUUGUUCGGAAUUACUGGGCGUAAAGCGCGCGUAGGCGGACCUGCAAGUCGGGGGUGAAAGCCCGAGGCUCAACCUCGGAACUGCCUUCGAUACUGCGGGUCUCGAGUCCGGGAGAGGUGAGUGGAAUUCCUAGUGUAGAGGUGAAAUUCGUAGAUAUUAGGAAGAACACCAGUGGCGAAGGCGGCUCACUGGCCCGGUACUGACGCUGAGGCGCGAA
rnacentral:rRNA from 1 species